rnacentral:rRNA from 1 species
CCUACGGGUGGCAGCAGUGAGGAAUAUUGGUCAAUGGACGAGAGUCUGAACCAGCCAAGUCGCGUGAAGGAUGACUGCCCUAUGGGUUGUAACCUUCUUUUAUAUGGGCAUAAAAUGUUCCACGUGUAGGAUUCUGUGUUUACCAUAUGAUUAAGGAUCGGCUAACUCCGUACCGGCAGCCGCGGUAAUACGGAGGAUCCGAGCGUUAUCCGGAUUUAUUGGGUUUAAAGGGUGUGUAGGUGGAUUGUUAAGUCAGUUGGGAAAGUAUGCGGCUCAACCGUAGAAUGGCAGUUGAAACUGGCAGUCUUGAGUACAGUAGAGGUGGGCGGAAUUCGUGGUGUAGCAGUGAAAUGCUUAGAUAUCACGAAGAACUCCGAUGGCGAAGGCAGUCCACUGGACUGCAACUGACGCUGAGGCUCGAAAGUGUGGGUAUCAAACAGGAUUAGAUACCCUGGUAGUC